rnacentral:rRNA from 1 species
GACGAACGCUGGCGGCGUGCCUAACACAUGCAAGUCGAACGGAAAGGCCCGGCUCUUGUGGGGUGCUCGUGUGGCGAAAGCGUGUGUAUCACGCGUGUAACCUGUCCUUGUCUUUGGGAUAACUCCUGGAAACUCGGGCUAAUAUCCGAUAUGAGCUCUUGCUGCAUGGUGUGGGUUGGUAAGUUGCGGAGGUUCGGGAUGGACGCGCGGCUUAUCAGCGUGUUGGUGGGGUAGUGGCUUACCAAGGCUUCGACGGGUAGCCGGCCUGAGAGGGUGACCGGCCACAAUGGGACUGAGGUAGGGCCCAGAGGCAAACGGGGGGCAGCGGUGGGAAAUAUUGCACACUGGGCGGAAGCCUGAUACAACAACGCCGCGUGCGGAAUGACGGCCUUCGGGUUGUAAACCGCUUUCGCCUGUAACGCAGCGUGAGUGACGGUAAUGGGUAAAGAAGCACCGGCUAACUACGUG